rnacentral:rRNA from 1 species
UACGUAGGCGGCAAGCGUUGUCCGGAAUUAUUGGGCGUAAAGCGCGCGCAGGCGGUUUCUUAAGUCUGAUGUGAAAGCCCACGGCUCAACCGUGGAGGGUCAUUGGAAACUGGGGAACUUGAGUGCAGAAGAGAAGAGCGGAAUUCCACGUGUAGCGGUGAAAUGCGUAGAGAUGUGGAGGAACACCAGUGGCGAAGGCGGCUCUUUGGUCUGUAACUGACGCUGAGGCGCGAAAGCGUGGGGAGCAAACAGG